UACGGAGGGUGCAAGCGUUAUCCGGAUUCCCUGGGUUUAAAGGGUGCGUAGGUGGGCAAGUAAGUCAGUGGUGAAAUCUCCGGGCUUAACCCGGAAACUGCCAUUGAUACUAUUUGUCUUGAAUACUGUGGAGGUCAGCGGAAUAUGUCAUGUAGCGGUGAAAUGCUUAGAUAUGACAUAGAACACCAAUUGCGAAGGCAGCUGGCUACACAAAUAUUGACACUGAGGCACGAAAGCGUGGGGAUCAAACAGG
rnacentral:rRNA from 1 species